rnacentral:rRNA from 1 species
AUUGAACGCUGGCGGCAGGCCUAACACAUGCAAGUCGAGCGGCAGCGGGAAAGUAGCUUGCUACUUUUGCCGGCGAGCGGCGGACGGGUGAGUAAUGCCUGGGAAAUUGCCCAGUCGAGGGGGAUAACAGUUGGAAACGACUGCUAAUACCGCAUACGCCCUACGGGGGAAAGCAGGGGACCUUCGGGCCUUGCGCGAUUGGAUAUGCCUAGGUGGGAAUAGCUAGUUGGUGAGGUAAGGGCUCACCAAGGCGACGAUCCCUAGCUGGUCUGGGAGGAUGAUCAGCCACACUGGAACUGAGACACGGUCCAGACUCCUACGGGAGGCAGCAGUGGGGAAUAUUGCACAAUGGGGGAAACCCUGAUGCAGCCAUGCCGCGUGUGUGAAGAAGGCCUUCGGGUUGUAAAGCACUUUCAGCGAGGAGGAAAGGUUGAUGCCUAAUACGUAUCAACUGUGACGUUACUCGCAGAAGAAGCACCGGCUAACUCCGUGCCAGCCGCCGCCGUAAGAC